CCUGAGGGAACUUGCACUCUGCCACCUCUUUCUCCAAGAGCGGCCCGGGACUGAGAAUGAGGGGAUGGGGCGAGUGGGUGGGGCCCUGCGCCUGUGCCUGGCUUCCAGAGUGACCCUAUUGUUGAUGAGGACCAGAGCCUAGGAGACAUCAGAGCCGGCCAGGAAUGACACAGGCGGUGUCGGGGUCACCGAUUCCAGGUGUCGGGGUCACCGAUUCCAGGGGUCGGGUGAGGGCUUCUGUCUGCUGAAAGCCCUCCUCCUGUGGGGAAAGCACGGCAGACUUCAGGCAAUGGUGGUUGGACAUUUGCCCUGCCCCUUAUUAUAUGGUCAUGUCCACCCCCCUCACUUCAGUGGGCCUCCGUUUCCUCACGGGGUUGUUAAAAUGCAUUAAUCAUUAAAAUUAUUGUUUGCCUGGCAC
rnacentral:lncRNA from 10 species